ensembl:lncRNA
GGGUUUGAAUAGUGCCCAGGAUAGAUCACUAGAUUACUCAAAUAUGCAUGAAUGUUUAUCUUCAUGUUAAUAUUGCAUUCAGACUAAACAGUUUAUUACCUUUGGUCGUGGUGGUGGUGGGAGUCGUGGUGGUGGUUGUGGUGGUGGUGGGAGUGGUGGUGGUGGUGGUGGGAGCCGUGGUGGUGGAGGCAAUCGUGGUGAUGGUGGUAGUGGUGGUGGUGGGAGUCGUGGUGGUGGUGGGAGUGGUGGUGGUGGGAGUCGUGGUGGUGGAGGUGGUGGUGGGAGUCGUGGUGGUGGAGGUGGUGGUGGUACCU